GCCGCCUUAGCUCAGCUGGUAGAGCAACGCAUUCGUAAUGCGUAGGUCGAGGGUUCGAGUCCCUUGGGCGGCU
rnacentral:tRNA from 1 species